rnacentral:rRNA from 1 species
AGGAUUAACGCUGGCGGCGUGCCUAACACAUGCAAGUCGAACGAGGUAGCAAUACCUAGUGGCAGACGGGUGAGUAACGCGUGGUCAACCUACCGUUGAGUGGGGGAUAACUAGCCGAAAGGUUAGCUAAUACCGCAUACGUCUCCGAGGGGCAUCCCUUGGCGAUAAAAGGAGCAAUCCGCUCGAUGACGGGACCGCGUCCCAUUAGCUAGAUGGUGGGGUAACGGCCUACCAUGGCACCGAUGGGUAGCUGGUUUGAGAGAGCGACCAGCCACACUGGGACUGAGAAACGGCCCAGACUCCUACGGGAGGCAGCAGUGAGGAAUUUUCCGCAAUGGGCGCAAGCCUGACGGAGCGACGCCGCGUGUGGGAAGAAGGCCUUCGGGUCGUAAACCACUGUCGAAGGGGACGAUAAUGACGGUACCCUUGGAGGAAGCCCCGGCUAACUCGCGCCAGCAGCCGC